rnacentral:misc_RNA from 1 species
UGAAUCUCAUAAGAAUCGAAAAAUGCUAUAAAAUCCACGCAAUUGCGUGGAUUUUUUUUCACAAUAUUAUAACUUAUUU